UUUAAUAGAAGAGUUUGAUCAUGGCUCAGAUUGAACGCUGGCGGCAGGCCUAACACAUGCAAGUCGAGCGGUAACAGGAAAGUGC
rnacentral:rRNA from 1 species